GAUGAAGGAGGGAGGAGUGCUUAACACAUGCAAGUCGAACGAUGAAGCCCAGCUUGCUGGGUGGAUUAGUGGCGAACGGGUGAGUAACACGUGAGUAACCUGCCCUUAACUCUGGGAUAAGCCUGGGAAACUGGGUCUAAUACCGGGUAGGAGCGUCCACCGCAUGGGGGGUGUUGGAGAGAUUUAUCGGUUUUGGAUGGACUCGCGGCCUAUCAGCUUGUUGGUGAGGUAAUGGCGCACCAAGGCGACGACGGGUAGCCGGCCUGAGAGGGUGACCGGCCACACUGGGACUGAGACACGGCCCAGACUCCUACGGGAGGCAGCAGUGGGGAAUAUUGCACAAUGGGCGCAAGCCUGAUGCAGCGACGCCGCGUGAGGGAUGACGGCCUUCGGGUUGUAAACCUCUUUCAGUAGGGAAGAAGCGAAAGUGACGGUACCUGCAGAAGAAGCACCGGCUAACUACGUG
rnacentral:rRNA from 1 species